rnacentral:lncRNA from 1 species
GAUGGCUUAAGAGUGAGGCUAGGGUAGUGGCUUCGCUGAGGAAGAGUGAUAGACCACCAGGUAUACAUAUCACUACAUGGAUCAUCCCAUUAAAUCUAUAAAACUUGAUAACGCUGAAUAGUUUAUGUCAAAGAGCUUAGAUGUCUACUACAUGUCUUUUGGAAUUAUGUUUAAGUAUCAUGUUCCACAUAUACAUACUCAAAAUGGUCUCGCAGAGUAUGUUAUUAAGUGCUUGCAAUGGUAACGAGGACUUUGGUUAUGCGCACCAAUUUACUUCUCUCUUUCUUGGUGGGCAUGCAAUAUAGGCUACUUCGCUUAGACUCAAGACUGGUCAUGAGGAUUUAAGGCCCGGUGCGAACAAAAAUUUUAGGCCCCUUAAUUUUUUUUCUUAAUUCAAAUAGAACGAUUUUUUUUGGGAGUUUCUAUUCAUACAUUCAAAAACGCUACUUGGACUUCCUUAUUUAAUUGACCUCCAAUUUACUCUUACAAAGAACUAAAAUGCCAUUUAUACCUCCCCAAUUUUUCCAAAAUCAACAAAAAUUCUCUUUUUUUUUUUAAUAGAAUCCAUUCAUACCUCUUUCAAAUUUUUUAGGAAUCUAACAAUAUAUUUUGAUUUCAAAAUCCAUUUAAUGGUUUAAACUUAUUAUUAGUUAUAUCGAGCCAAGCUUGUUUGUUCAGGCACAAUAACAAUUAGCAAUAAAUAAGUCCACUUUGACAUAUUUUUUCCCACAUAAGUCCACCCCAACAUUUUUACCCAUAUAAGUCCACCCAAGCCUAAAUAAGGUUUUGGUUUAAGUAUUGAAGUUCAACAUAUUUACAGACUGCCAUCCAACAAAAAAAAAUAGAUUUUCUCUUUUAUAUUUACAAAAAUGCCACUAAUGUAAAAAGUCAACAACCACUAUUUUCCCCGGAAAAGUCUCCGGUAGACCUCCGGCGAGGUCUCUGAUGGACUCCGGCCGACCUCCGGCAAUGUCUCCGGCCGAAUUCUGAUGAGGUUUUCAACGGUUACGAAAGCUACUACCGCCAGCAAGAAAAGCUACUAUCCCUAGCUACAAAAACUACUACCACAGACUACAAAAGCUACUACCGCCAGCAAGAAAAAUUACUAUCCCUAGCUACAAAGCUAUUAUCCCUAGCUAGAAAAGCUACUACCACCGACUAGAAAAGCUACUACCGCCAGUAAAAAAAGCUACUAUCCCGAACUAC